CCGUCUCGAAUGUGGCGGCGAAUUGUAGUCUCGAGAAGCGUCUUCACGGUGGAUCCUGCCUGCCUAAGUUGCUUGGAACAGCACAUCAGAGAGGGUGACAAUCCCGUUUGUGGCAGGUGGGGCCGCUCACGAUACGCUUUCCAUGAGUCGGGUUGCUUGGGAAUGCAGCCCAAAAUUGGUGGUAGACUCCAUCUAAAGCUAAAUACUGGCACGAGACCGAUAGCGAACAAGUACCGUGAGGGAAAGAUGAAAAGAACUUUGAAAAGAGAGUUAAAAAGUGCGUGAAACCGUUAGAGGGGAAGCGGAUGAAGUUAGCAAUGCCCCCGCGAGACUCAGGUGGAUGGCAUACCUCUGGAUGCGAUGCGUGGCUGACGGAUCCGAAUGGACUGUCGUCUCGUGGCCGUUCCAGCCAGCCGCCGCACUUCUCGUGCUGGGGCGCGUCAACAACUGCUGGACCAUUUAUUCCCAUGUGGGCUAGACGGCACUUGUGCGGAAGGUAGGCAUCUGCUGUGGCGGCACUCGUGCUGCUUCACAGGAGAUGCUGUUAUAGCCGCCAGUGUACCAGCUCCGGUCUGGCAGAGGCAGUGAUUGAUAGCGGUGUGUGCUCGCGUGGUCCUCGCUUGUCGUGGGCUUUGUGCGGGCUGGCAUCCUGUUGCACGUUCUCGUAGUCGUCAGCUGUGCACUGCUUGCAGUUCACGGCGAACGGCGAAAAGGCGUGUGCAGUGCAUGCACACUAGUACACCACAGUUGUUGGCGGCCAUAUGGCUUCUUCCGACCCGUCUUGAAACACGGACCAAGGAGUCUAACAUGUGCGCGAGUCUUGGGGUGACUGAAACCCAAAGGCACAAUGAAAGUGAAGGCUGCUACGUAACCAACGGUGUGUCUCUGACGCGUUGUUGGAACUGGCGGCUUAGGUGAGAUCUCUGUCGUCGUCGCAGAUCUCCGCGGCGGAGGCAGUGGCGCAUCAUCGACCGACCUAUUCUACUCCUAGAAAGGUUUGAGUAAGAGCGUACAUGAUGGGACCCGAAAGAUGGUGAACUAUGCCUGAGUAGGGUGAAGCCAGAGGAAACUCUGGUGGAAGCUCGUAGCGAUUCUGACGUGCAAAUCGAUCGUCAAACUUGGGUAUAGGGGCGAAAGACUAAUCGAACCAUCUA
rnacentral:rRNA from 1 species